GAUGCAGUGAAAAAGCUCUAGAACUCCACCAAGCUCCUGCAAAAGAAUAAGCUGAAUCUGCUCAGAGACCUGACUGUGCACGUUGCCCACAGCCUCCGGAGUAGCCUGGAUUGCAGAGAUGUGGUCACACUUCACAGGAAGGAGGGCGAUUCUGAGU